rnacentral:rRNA from 1 species
UACGUAGGGUGCAAGCGUUGUCCGGAAUUAUUGGGCGUAAAGAGCUCGUAGGCGGUUUGUCGCGUCGGCUGUGAAAACCUGGGGCUCAACCCCGGGCCUGCAGCCGAUACGGGCAAACUAGAAUUCGGUAGGGGAGACUGGAAUUCCUGGUGUAGCGGUGAAAUGCGCAGAUAUCAGGAGGAACACCGGUGGCGAAGGCGGGUCUCUGGGCCUGUUCUGACGCUGAGGAGCGAAAGCGUGGGGAGCGAACAGG